AGAGAGCUGUGCGAUCCGGUGUGCGUCAGGAGUCAUUGAGAAGCGCCUCCAUCCAUCUGAGAGAGAAACAGAGAGAGAGAGAGAGAGAGAGAGAGAACGCGCCUCCUUCUGUCUGUGUAUGUGAGAGAGGGAGGUAGGGAGGGAAAGAGAGAGAAAGAAGACGCGGAGAGAGGCAUCUACCCGGAGAACAACGGUCCCUCACCUUAACGAUGAUUUAACGAGUGGAUUCUUCCAUCGCAGCAAGAAACAUUGAAGACAAAGGACAGCGAUCUGCGCAGGAGGUACGCAUAGUUUUGUUAGUGCGGGUCUCUCUUCAAGAUGCCCGAGCAGAGCAACGAUUACCGGGUGGUGGUAUUUGGGGCGGGCGGCGUGGGAAAGAGCUCCCUGGUGCUACGCUUUGUGAAGGGCACCUUCCGGGACACCUACAUCCCCACCAUAGAAGACACCUACAGACAGGUGAUCAGCUGCGACAAGAGUGUGUGCACACUGCAGAUCACAGAUACCACUGGCAGCCACCAGUUCCCGGCCAUGCAACGCCUCUCCAUCUCCAAGGGCCACGCCUUCAUCUUGGUCUACUCCAUCACAAGCCGUCAGUCGCUGGAAGAGCUGAAGCCUAUUUACCAGCAGUUGCUGCAGAUCAAGGGAAGCGUGGAGAACAUCCCUGUGAUGCUUGUGGGCAAUAAGUGUGAUGAGACUCAGAGAGAGGUGGAGACCAAAGAGGGUGAGGCGCAGGCACAGCUCUGGAAGUGCGCCUUUAUGGAAACCUCAGCCAAGAUGAACUACAAUGUCAAGGAGCUCUUCCAAGAGUUGUUGAAUCUGGAGAAGAGAAGGAACAUGAGUCUGAACAUCGAUGGCAAGCGCUCCAAUAAGCAGAAGCGGGCAGACAAGAUCAAGGGAAAGUGCAGCGUGAUGUAGGAGGAAGGUGGGGGCAGGGUGGUGGCACUGGAGACCUGCUCCAAGUCUCAUGUCCUAUGCACAUCUCAUUACUCACUAUUCUAUUGGCCACUCCCCAAAGGUGCAUAUGGCUCCAGGGCCUCCUUCAAUCUGUUUGAAAACUUGUGGAUGAGGGGUCACUACUCCUGAUUCACUGGCCAUCAUUCCGGCUUUGAAGGUGGCACAGAAGAGUGCAUCACAGGUGGAACUUGGAAGCACAAUCAGUAGCAGAAGUUAAGGAGUGCCUGGGGAGCCCAUUCUCCACAUCCUGAAUACAACAGGCUUAAAGCAGGGGUACAAGGCUGGUGGCCAAUUCGGACCUUCCCUCUCCCUAUACUCAUCCACCAUCAUUCUUUUCCUGUCUUCCAGUCGCACCUGCAGCCUCUCCUCUUUCUUCAGUUACAAGUUGCUGCUUAGUUACCAAACUCUGGAGGUCAAGGCUCAGCUUGGUUGAUCCUGCUCUUGCAGGGGGAGAGAAUCAAGGAGGAGUGAGCUCUCAGCUAAAGACUGGAUGGGAGAAACUUAUGGGAUGAAGAGUCAACAAAGCACAUUUUUAUAAACCCCCAACAGAAAAGCACACAGAUAAGCAAUUCAUCAGAAUAGUAAUUUUAAAAAGGCACAGUAAGAGGAAAGUACUGGCAAGGGCAAGCACAUUUUAAACAAUCACCAGAAAAUAAAUCUCAAAAUGCAUGUUUAUUUGAAAAACUUUCACAACAGGCAAAAUUAUUUUAAUUCACUCAUUAAAUUACUUUUAAAAACUUUUGUCAACAAACAAAUCAAAAUAUUUAAUCACCAAAUAAUAAAAAAAUAUUUUAAAAAACCUUUAACAGUUUAGAUAAUAAAGAAUAAACUAUUAUUGUGUAGGUUAAAUAAGAAAAAAGCAAAAAUUGCAUAGUAAAAUCACACAUAAAAUAACAUACUGAAAAUAUGAAUCUGAUGUGGAGAAAAUAGUGUGGAUUAAAAUAAUGGCUUUUUCUUGGGUGAGGGGAGGUGGGUUUGUAAUACUUGUCUAUCAUUUUUUUAUGUGAAGUGUGGAAUUCAGAUUCAUUAAGUUUCAUUUUCCAGCUAUGACAUAUAUCUAACACCUACAUUUUCUUUCAUUGCUACAUAUAGCACUUUUCAAAAUGAAUGUUGCCAAUGAAAAUCAUCACUGAGUUGUAGCUUGGAACCUGCAGCACAGUGGUCACUCUGGCUUGUUGUACUAGAUUAAGUGCUGUCAUGGUGAAAGGCACUAUAUAUAGCAGUUAGGCUCUGAAUGUCCAUGUGCCAUUAAUUAAUAUAUGGAUAUUCAGCAUGCAGGUAAAUCACCUGUGUUUUAAGACCACGUUUCUAAAUUCUCAUCUCAAGCUCUUCACUGGUGUUUUAAAUUAACCUUGUUAAAAUUUUACAGUCAGCCACAUUUUAAAAUUAAGUUUUAAUUCAGUGCUUUUUUCCCUCAAAUGACCAAAGUAGAUUUGUUUUCAUUACAAUAAUACAUUUAUUCUUGUCUCCCAAGUUGCUGAAAGCUGCUUGAUUCUUUUUAGCUUCUUGAGGAAAAGACAUUUUGAUUUUAAAUUACAAUUUUUUAUUGAUAUAUAUAUUACUUUUUUAAGGCAUAUGUUUCAAAAAUGUUUUAUAUUUAUUUUCUUAUUAAGAAUAAGAAAUGCAGAUGUGUUUGAUGGAUGAAGUGAAUCACUUUAAUGGAUUAUUUUAUCUAUCUAUCUAUCUAUCUAUCUAUCUAUCUAUCUAUCUAUCUAUCUAUCUAUCUAUCUAUCUAUACUAGGGGUGUCAAACUCAGUCCUUGUAAGGCCACAUUGACUGAUGGCAUUGGUUUUACCAUAUUUUUAAUUAUAAGUCAAUGAUUGCUGAUAAUAUGCAAAACAUUGGAUUAAUUUCAUGUUGCUCACUCGUUAAGACUUCUUAUUUAACUAUUAAAUAGUCAGAACCUGGAUCUUUAAUUUUUUUUCUUCAGCCAGCAGAAAACUAAUAAUUAAAUUGAAAUAACAAGGGGACUAUUAGCAGUGCAUCUAUGUGUUCUCAUCAUAAAGUGCCAGUUUCAACAAAACCUUUGGAAAUAUUUAAAAGUAAAAAAUAUGAGUCUAAAAAGUACAGAUCUGCUAAACUCCUCAUAAUAUUGUGAUGAUGUUCUUAGAAAAGGAAAAUAUGUAUUUUAAGAAAUGUUAAGAGUCAUAACAAUCCACAGAAUUAAAUUUACAGCAAGAAUUGACUACUAAUUAUGAGACUAGUUGGAUCAAAAAAACCUAAAGCCACUCUAGCCAUUGUAGAACUGUGUUUGACACCCCUGAUCUAAGCUAAUGAUGGAGGCAAAAGAACUUGAGGCAUACAGUGAACAUUUCACAAAUAUCUGCUAUUAGUAUCGAACUUGAAACUACCCAGUAUUCAGCACAAACUUGCAAGUACUUUUUUGGUAACAUUUUGCUGGUUAACUUAAUAAAGGGUCAAUGGUCGCAGACAGCACCAUUUCAGAUUAGUAAAGUAACCUCCAUGCAGACAGAUCAUCUGAGGCCCUGAAGUGGCUAACAUAAAUCCACUUCACCAAACACACACAUUCUAUAUUAUACUGUGGUUUGGCUCACAUUCCAGUUUUCAUUUUUAACUGAUGUCAGGUGGUAUUGGUAGAUCCUGGCAGUUGUAAUUUAACAAGUCUAUGUAUCAGUACAAUAUCUUAUUACACCAACUUGCUUAUUGCCAAUAUGUCAAGGCCUAUCUUGCUGCUGAGCUCAUAGUUUUCCAUCCUGGCAUCUGACACGUCUUAUGGCAGUUCAUUGAUUGAGUGCAGGGGCCUCCCUUAACAUUUCCUGCAUCCUCCAUUGACAAAAUUAGUGAUCUUCUGUUACCAAGGAUAUUCCAAAGGAUUGCAUCUACCACAAAACAUGGCUAUUUGACUGCUACUUGGUUACCAACUAAAUGAAUGUCAAGCAUUGGUAAGAAAUUCAUUUAAAUUGAUGUAAUCUGAAAUUUAAUAUUAAAUGGUCAGUGACAUUUAAUGUCUGUAGAAGAGCACUGUGAUGCCUGUGAAAUACAAGACAUUUUUGAGUCAUAGGCAUGCACUGACCAACCAGUUUUUUGAAAAGUAGUGUCACUUAGUGGGUGCCUGUCUCUGCCCCCGCAGAAAGAUUUUUUUUGCCUGUAACAUUUACUGAGCCCAAUACUAUUAUUUUCUUCAUAUGACAAAUCUGGAUUCUUACAGAUGUUUCAGAUUGCUUGCUUUUGCUUUCAGCCUGCACAGUGGCACAGGAGAGCUGCGUUACUAUGACGACGGUCCACAAAACACCUCUUCAUUGGGAGGCUCCUCCCACACUGCAGCUAAAUGGGGAGAGUGGACAGGGUGGCUCUCUUAACAAAUGGGACAUGAUGAGAAGCUGGUUUGUGCCAGUUUCUGUCUCAGCAGCAUUGGACACAGUGUGGAAGCCAACCCUGGAUAGGGAGCCAGACUAUCACAAGCCACACUCACAUAUUCUAUACCAAACAAUUCAAUUAUUUAUGUGAUGUGGGAGGAAAAUUCAUAUUGAUACUGAGGGGGAAUAUACUAACUUCACACUGACUGCACCCAAAUUUCAGAAUUUGAACCCUGGACUCUUGAGCUGGGUAGGGACCCAUAUCUUAUCAUUUCUUAAAUAGGGUUUUUAAUUUUUCAUUUACUUAUUUUGAAUGCCACCAGUGGGCAAUGAGAGUUUUCACUUUGUUUAAUGGUAUGCAGUGGUGCAAAGCCAACCCCGUUAAUUAUUGAUUUUCGCUGUAAAAACAUUACCAGUAGCCUAGAGCAUACUGAAACAAAAAGCUAUCCAAAAAUAAAAACUGUUCAUAGAACAUUUUCAAGAUAUAUAAUUAAGACAAAAUUGUUUGAGCUUUUUGAUUAAUCUCCACUGCUGAUUCACGUGACCCCUCUCUCAAUUUGUAUAUAGAUAUGUAAAAUACUUUAUGAUAGUGUUCAUGGUUAAAUAUAGAAAAUAAAAGGCAUGAUAUUUGGUAGUCUACUGACCCAAAAGACAGACUUAAUUUCAAUUUGGCAUAAAAUUCUAUUGUGGAACCAAAGAGACACAGUGUUUAACAUUGCUGCCUUACAGUUUCUGGAACCUGGUUUCCAUUCCAGUUGAAAAUCGGUCCAGUGUCCACAAAGGUUUACAGUGGGCACUCUAAUUUCCUCCCACAGACCUAUAAUGAUAAUGGGAGACUCUAAAUUGGCCUGAAAUGAGAGAAAGUAAGGAUAAGGUGGCAUUCUAUCCAGGGCUGGGUUCUGUGUUACAUUUGUUGCUGCUGAAUUUGGUUGCAUUUCCCUGUGAACCUGUAAAGAAAGAAAAAAAAUAAAAAAUGGAUUUGUGAAUAGAUACAAUUCAAACCUUGAGUUUGAGUUCCACAGCCAAACAAAAAUUAUUUUUGAUGUAACUGUUCACAAAUUCUCAGUGUUUCAGUAAAAAAAAAAAAAAACUGACAGUAAUGUGUAUAAUUCCAGAAUUGCAUAACUGACAGUAGCUCUGUCAGGGGAAAAAACUUCACAUGGCUCCUUCCCAGGGGCCUGCCCCUUUGAUCCCACCUCUAGACUAUUAGACUAUAGCAACCUCAGAGGCCUUUGCAUGUCCUCUCCCACAACCCCUAAGCCCAGCCUUAGAGCCCACGCUCACCCCACCUUAUCUCGCAAUGCGCUUAUGCCAGCAUGCAGGCAGCACAGCAACUGUGAAGCAACUGCUGUUUUUUUUCUUUUUUCAUGUUUCUUCUGUUUCUCUCCAUUUUUUAUUUUUUUAACCAAAAGACAAAUGUAGCAUUUGACUCUAGCAAUAGUCUUCCUAGACGAAUAUACUGUGUUCACGCAUCUCAUGAAUUAAACAGCAAUCUGCUCACUUAUGACUUGUAUAAUAAAAGAAAAAAAAAAACAUGA